AAAAAAAAAAAAACUUUGUUAAAUAUAGGUGUGCAACAAUUAUUGGCACCCUUUUAGUCAACACUUUGUGCUAGCUCCCUUUGCCAAGAUAACAGCUUGUCCUAUAACGCCUGAGGAGGUUGGAGAAGACAUGGCGAGGGAUCUGAGAGCGUUCCUCCAUACAGAAGCUCUCCAGAUCCUUCACGUUUCCAGGUCCACGCUGACGGACUCUCCUCUUCAGUUCACUCCACAGGGUUUCUAUGGGGUUCGGGUCAGGGGACUGGGAUGGUCAGGGCAGGAGCUUGAUUUUGUGGUCAGUAAACCGUUUUUGUGUUGAUUUUGAUGAUGUUUUGGAUCAUCGUCCUGCUGGAAGAUCCGACCACGGCCCAUUUGAAGCUUGGCAUGAUUUGAAAAAACACAUGCUUCGACACUUCUGAAAAAUUGAAAAUGACAUGAAAAAUAAAGCCACAAGCUUUUAAAAUCACAAAGAACCUGAAGUAAUUAUUGACAUGCUGCAUGAAAAUCAUAAAAUGAAUGAAGCGUGUUAAAAAAGAACAAUCCUCACAUGAAAACGAGUCAAACGUGAAGUGUUUAAAAGUGUUUUCACGUUUAACUUGUGAUUAUUCACGUGAAGUUUGUGCAACUUUUCUUUUCUUUUCUUUUCUUUUCUUCAUUGUAUCCCUCUGUUCUUUCUAGAAUUGGGACUUGAAGACUUGAUUUCAUUGAAUGGACAUUUUACAGUGAGGUUCGUUCAGGACAUGCAUUGUGGACAGACACGGCCCUCGAGCGGCGAGACGCUUGAAAAUACCAGGGAGGACUGUGGCGUAGUACGUUUGGCUCGCACCUCCAGGGUUGGGGUUCGAUUCCUGCCUUCACCCUGUGUGCGUGGAGCUUGCAUGUUCUCCCCGUGCUUCGGGGGUUUCCUCUGGGUACUCCAGUCCAAAGACACGCGCGAUAGGAGGCCCUUCCUCUCGCUACAUGUAGGUCGCUGCUUCCUUUGUUCUUCUUCUCCGGGGCCUGGAGACUAUUUGACGUCGCCAUGCCAUUCUUUCAAGCCUCGCAUCGCCAUGGAAAUGCACAGGGCCAAACGGCGACGGUGCUGAAGAAGGACAGCGGAGAGCAAGAGAAAGGACUGGUCAAUGAAGUUAAUUGUUGAGAAGAAAAUGGACGCCAGCUCGCUUUUGUUCAGGCAAAAUGUGAGGGAAAGGACAGAUGAAAAAAGUGCAGUUGGUUCCUCCGGUCGGAGUGGCGAGGAAUGGAAAGUGAAAAGUAAAGAACUUAAGGGGAAGAACAGGAACUUUUAUUUUGGACAAGAAUUAAACCAUAAAAGUUUGAUCCUUUAAAGGUUUCUGUGUGUUGAGUGGGUUCAAUUGAAGUCAUUUACAGAAAUGUAUUAUAUUUUACAAUUUACAACUAAAGAGUGCAAUUACUUGAAACAAAUGCUCUGGUUAAAGUUCAUGUAUAUAUCCUCAUUAUUUUUCACAAAUCCAAACACGGCAAAAAAUAAGGAACAUUUGUAUUUUUAUUGUUUUAUGUUCUUUAAAUAAUAAUCAUUAAAAAAAAAAAACGAAAGAGAAAAUAAUAUUCCACUUAACAU
ensembl:lncRNA